UACGAAGGGGGCUAGCGUUGCUCGGAAUCACUGGGCGUAAAGCGCACGUAGGCGGAUCGCUAAGUCAGGGGUGAAAUCCUGGAGCUCAGCUCCAGAACUGCCUUUGAUACUGGCAAUCUCGAGUCCGGGAGAGGUGAGUGGAACUGCGAGUGUAGAGGUGAAAUUCGUAGAUAUUCGCAAGAACACCAGUGGCGAAGGCGGCUCACUGGCCCGGUACUGACGCUGAGGUGCGAAAGCGUGGGGAGCAAACAGG
rnacentral:rRNA from 1 species